CUUGAAGAUUUGCUGCUAAGCCAUUCCAAACCCAAAGCCUAACCAGUUACAUUGAUGAUGCAAAGUCUGAUCCUGCAUAUGGAAAAACUCCACAGACAUCACUGAGAAGUACAACAUGACGAAGGCUGAGUAGCAUUGCCAAAAGCUUGAAGACCUCCCCCAGGGAACACAUCUGGUUUUGUCUGCUUUGGAGAUAAACCAGUCCAGGAGAUAGCCCCAUGUACUGAGGACCACACAGACUCCUUGGCACUGAAUACACAACUUGAAGAACUGUGCCUUAACUGCUCUGUGGAAACCACACUACAGCUAUCAAUCCAGACAUUCUCUCAACCAGGGAAACCUUGUGGAGUUUUUCAUCUUAAGAAAAUACGAUCAGCCUCAAAGAGUAGCAGGAUGCUAUCUGGUACCAAAAUGACACUAAGAAUGACUUUGAAGUCUCUUCUUCAUAAAUAGUCCCCAUGGUUUCAAUGCAAGUUUUUGCCAAGUAAGAAUCUAAAUCCUGUAUGAAAGAGAGUGAUAUAAGUUCUCUUUUGUAUAAAUUGCACCCAGCACAAAGUUUAAAUGCCUGUAAUUUGGUUACCUAGUGUUUCAUGUUCAGGAAUAUGAUCUUUCUGCUUGGAAGGAUAAAAUUCUGAAAUAUGAACAGAGAUAAAAAAGUGAGUUGAAAGCUGAUGCCUGUCUUGUUUGAAUGAACAGCUUCUGGUCAGACAAACUCACGUUACUGCACAUG
rnacentral:lncRNA from 1 species